CUCCCAAAAGGGCCAAGGGACAGGAGCAGGGGCUGCCAUGCCUUGGCUCCCUGAUGACUGGCCAGGACCCUCCCAGGGCUCUGCCCCCAGUGAUCCCACACAACCCCAGCCCUGGGAAGGGCUGCUGCCAUUGGAGAGGAAGCAUUAUUUAGCUGGAGCAUAGACUGGAGCUCUGUACAGCAGGACCUUUUUUUCAAAAGGCACUACAAAGAAAUGUUAUGAAGCAAUAUAUUGCCUGGAUCAAAUGCACCAACACCAGGAUCUACCCUGCUUGUUUCUCUGGGAGAUCACCAGGACAUAUGACAGCAUCCUCAGCGAGCUGCAGACGUUUCUAUUUAAGCUGCUUGGAAGGAUACCUCAGUAGCAGCCCUACUGGGCUCAAGGAGACAGAGGCUGACAGAUUCUUCACUUUCCAGGUUUUAAUUAAAAUCAUAGGUGUUAAGAAGCAAGAGUGUCUUCGUGGAAUACAAGUCUAA
rnacentral:lncRNA from 1 species